rnacentral:lncRNA from 1 species
CCAAUAUCCCUAAUUCUCAAAUCGACAGAAAGUAUAUCUUCUCACACCGCCAUCGAAGGGAGAAACUGCAAAAAACUCAUCUCUCGUACUCUUUCAAUUUACCCAAUACCCCUAAUUCACAGAUCGACGAAGAACCUGUAAUUCUGCAAACCGCCACCAAAGGGAAAGAUCUGCAAAUCUCGUCAAAUUGAAACACGCAAAACUCUCCCCCCCUUUCGUUCAACUCAAACUCUGUAAUCAUAGCACCUUAUUGUUGAGAUCGAUGGAGAGUCUGUAGGUUUGGAAACCGAGAAGAUGUACAGGUCAUUUGCUAUAUAUAUAUAUAUAUAUAUAUAUAUUUAAAUCGCGAUUCAUUGACGAAAUACAAUGGGUGUUUUUAUGAAUGAAGUGAAAGACACAGAUUUGGAGCCUACGACCCCAGGUAAUAACUUCGAUUUCUG